rnacentral:rRNA from 1 species
AGUGAACGCUGGCGGUAGGCCUAACACAUGCAAGUCGAACGGCAGCACAGUAAGAGCUUGCUCUUACGGGUGGCGAGUGGCGGACGGGUGAGGAAUACAUCGGAAACUACUUUUUCGUGGGGGAUAACGUAGGGAAACUUACGCUAAUACCGCAUACGACCUACGGGUGAAAGCAGGGGAUCUUCGGACCUUGCGCGAUUGAAUGAGCCGAUGUCGGAUUAGCUAGUUGGCGGGGUAAAGGCCCACCAAGGCGACGAUCCGUAGCUGGUCUGAGAGGAUGAUCCGCCACACUGGAACUGAGACACGGUCCAGACUCCUACGGGAGGCAGCAGUGGGGAAUAUUGGACAAUGGGCGCAAGCCUGAUCCAGCCAUACCGCGUGGGUGAAGAAGGCCUUCGGGUUGUAAAGCCCUGUUGUUGGGAAAGAAAAACAGCAGGUUAAUACCCCGCUGUUCCGACGGUACCCAAAGAAUAAGCACCGGCUAACUUCGUG